GCCGCCAUGAAAAUUAGAAAAAAUUAAAAACUGUUACCUAUUUCUUGUAGAUGGUACGGAAUUCUUCGUGUGAGAGUCCAACUUGCACUUAACCGAUGUUUUUUUUUACUUCAAAUCCAU